rnacentral:rRNA from 1 species
AUUAAACGCUGGCGGCAUGGCUAAUGCAUGCAAGUCGAACGAGAACCAGACUUCGGUCUGGGGACAGUGGCGAAAGGGCGAGUAAUGCGUUUCUUACGUACCCCGAGGCGAGGGACAGCCUGGAGAAAUCCAGAAUAAUACCUCAUGUGAUCUCCGGAUUAAAGGCUUCGGCCACCUCGGGAGCGGGAAGCGUCCUAUCAGGUUGUUGGUGAGGUAAAGGCUCACCAAGCCUUAGACGGGUAGCGGGUGUGAGAGCAUGACCCGCCGCAUCGGGACUGAGACACUGCCCGG